AUUGAACGCUGGCGGCAUGCUUUACACAUGCAAGUCGAACGGUAACAGGCCGCAAGGUGCUGACGAGUGGCGAACGGGUGAGUAAUGCAUCGGAACGUGCCCAGUCGUGGGGGAUAACGCGACGAAAGCUGUGCUAAUACCGCUUACGAUCUAUGGAUGGAAGCGGGGGACAGUAAGGCAACGCGCGAUUGGAGGGGCCGAUGUCAGAAUAGCGAGUUGGCGGGGUAAGGGCCCACAAAGGCGACGAUCUGUAGCUGGUCUGAGAGGACGACCAGCGACACUGGGACUGAGACACGGCCCAGACUCCUACGGGAGGCAGCAGUGGGGAAUUUUGGACAAUGGGCGGAGGCCUGAUCCAGCAAUGCCGCGUGCAGGAAGAAGGCCUUCGGGUUGUAAACUGCUUUUGUACGGAACGAAAAGACUCUUUCUAAUAAAGAGGGUCCAUGACGGUACCGUAAGAAUAAGCACCGGCUAACUACGUGCCAGCCGCCGCCGUAA
rnacentral:rRNA from 1 species